UACAGAGGUCCCAAGCGUUACUGAGAAUCACUGGGUUUAAAGGGUGUGUAGGUGGUCCGUUAAGUUCGUUGUGAAAUCCCUGGGCUCAACCCAGGAACUGCUUCGAAUACUGGCGGACUUGAGGCCGGUAGAGGUCACUGGAACAGACGGUGGAGCGGUGAAAUGCGUAGAUAUCGUCUGGAACGCCGGUGGUGAAGACGGGUGACUGGGCCGGUUCUGACCCUGAGGCACGAAAGCGUGGGGAGCGAACUGG
rnacentral:rRNA from 1 species